rnacentral:rRNA from 1 species
AUGGUGAUGGCGCACAUGUCGUCUCCAGUUGUGAGGCGUGAUGCGACAAGUUUGCUGGAUAAGAUGGUGGUAUCCGGUCAGCACAAGCUAGGCAGCAGCCUCUGGUGUUUUGAUUGGUGGUAUCCGAUCAUCUUUUUCGCGGACAGAGGGGCUGGCGUUAUGGCGGCUGUGUACAGCGAUGACCACAAGUUCUCCCGUGAUUUGCCUCCAUCUCCUACUCCUAGCUCCCUCUUUUUUGCUCCUAUAGCAGUAGAAGGCUUUAAAUGUGGUGCAUGCGUGAGGAUCAAUCAUGUUGACUGCGUGACAAUCAUGUUUCUCAUCAUUGUAAUUUUUGGUAGUAACUCUGAUAGGCCACUACACUUUCCAAAUUCCAAUGCUUGCCUGUUGGUCGUCCCCAAGUUUUCACUACCCUGA